rnacentral:rRNA from 1 species
CGGAACACGUACACAACCUUCCUUUAAGUGGGGAAUAGCCCAGAGAAAUUUGGAUUAAUACCCCGUAACACAACGAAGUGGCAUCACUUUGUUGUUAUAGUUUCGGCGCUUAAUGAUGGGUGUGCGUAUGAUUAGAUAGUUGGCGAGGUAACGGCUCACCAAGUCUACGAUCAUUAGCUGAUGUGAGAGCAUGAUCAGCCACACGGGCACUGAGACACGGGCCCGACUCCUACGGGAGGCAGCAGUAAGGAAUAUUGGUCAAUGGACGCAAGUCUGAACCAGCCAUGCCGCGUGAAGGAUUAAGGUCCUCUGGAUUGUAAACUUCUUUUAUAUGGGACGAAAAAAGGUCUUUCUAGACCCCUUGACGGUACCAUAUGAAUAAGCACCGGCUAACUCCGUGCCAGCAGCCGCGGUAAUACGGAGGGUGCAAGCGUUAUCCGGAUUCACUGGGUUUAAAGGGUGCGUAGGCGGGUAGGUAAGUCAGUGGUGAAAUCCUGGAGCUCAACUCCAGAACUGCCAUUGAUACUAUCUAUCUUGAAUAUUGUGGAGGUAAGCGGAAUAUGUCAUGUAGCGGUGAAAUGCUUAGAUAUGACAUAGAACACCCAUUGCGAAGGCAGCUUACUACGCAUAUAUUGACGCUGAGGCACGAAAGCGUGGGGAUC